rnacentral:rRNA from 1 species
CAGUAGCGUAUAUUAAAGUUGUUGCAGUUAAAAUGCUCGUAGUUGAAGUUCGGAUGCAGCAGAGCUUGGAAACGCUGUUAUGGUGCUUCCGUUGCUUUUGCUUGUCCACAGUGCGUUGCAAGUACGUAUGUGCUUGUGCGUGCAUUUUGCUUUGAGAAACAUAGGGUGUUCCACGCAUGUUACGGCAUGAAUAUUCCAGCAUGGGAUAAUCUGGUACGACUUCCAAUCUGCCAUUUUGGUUCGUAGGUUGGAAGUAAUGAUUAAUAGGGACUGUCGGGGGCAUUGGUAUUUGACUGUCAGAGGUGAAAUUCUUAGAUUCGUUGAGGACCAACCACUGCGAAAGCAUUUGUCAAGGAUGUCUCCAUUA